rnacentral:rRNA from 1 species
CGAGCGGCGGACGGGUGAGUAACACGUGGGUAACCUGCCCAAGAGACUGGGAUAACACCUGGAAACAGAUGCUAAUACCGGAUAACAACACUAGACGCAUGUCUAGAGUUUGAAAGAUGGUUCUGCUAUCACUCUUGGAUGGACCUGCGGUGCAUUAGCUAGUUGGUAAGGUAACGGCUUACCAAGGCAAUGAUGCAUAGCCGAGUUGAGAGACUGAUCGGCCACAUUGGGACUGAGACACGGCCCAAACUCCUACGGGAGGCAGCAGUAGGGAAUCUUCCACAAUGGACGAAAGUCUGAUGGAGCAACGCCGCGUGAGUGAAGAAGGGUUUCGGCUCGUAAAGCUCUGUUGGUAGUGAAGAAAGAUAGAGGUAGUAACUGGCCUUUAUUUGACGGUAAUUACUUAGAAAGUCACGGCUAACUACGUGCCAGCAGCCGCGGUAAUACGUAGGUGGCAAGCGUUGUCCGGAUUUAUUGGGCGUAAAGCGAGUGCAGGCGGUUCAAUAAGUCUGAUGUGAAAGCCUUCGGCUCAACCGGAGAAUUGCAUCAGAAACUGUUGAACUUGAGUGCAGAAGAGGAGAGUGGAACUCCAUGUGUAGCGGUGGAAUGCGUAGAUAUAUGGAAGAACGCCAGUGGCGAAGGCGGCUCUCUGGUCUGCAACUGACGCUG